UGUUUCCAGGUUACUGUGACAACAUGAAGAGUUGAAGGUACCUCCCAGGAUGAUUGCAGAUUUUCCCGGUGGUGAGUCUCCGGCAUUCAAAGGUUAGAUUAUUUUGCAUUGGGUUUGUUCACUAGGUUGGCUGUUUCUAUGAUGAAUCAAACUAGCUCACUAUGACUGCUAAUGAAAACACAGGAACACCUGAGAAACGGAAAGGUAGCAUGUGGGGGCAAGAGCACUUAUAUCCAGCCUUUUCAACCUUGGCUAUUUUUCUCCAGGUUCUGUUAGUGCCAUACUUGUUGGUUUACAGGUGAGUAAUUCAAGCAUGUGGUGUGGUGUAUGUGCAUAGUAUUGGACCUAACUGAGAAAGUACUUGGUAUAUAUGAUGACUUAGAGAAUCUCGUUCGGCUGAUGAUUGCUGUUGAGACUUGGAAAUCUGACUUUUCUCAGAAUGAUGGGUUAGAUAAGAACAAUCUUUUGCAAGAUUUUUAACAUUGCUGAUGACUGUCUUGUGUUUCAUAGAUGGUGUGUCUGGCUGAGACCAAAGGAGCCAUGCCAGGAAAGUUAAAGCGUAUCUUCAUUUUUAAGUCCAGGCUAAAGUAAGGUCUGAGGAAAAGAAUGAGCUGCAUGAGAAAGAUAGGAACAGAUCAUCAAAUCUGAUUGUCCGGGCCAGUGUUGCAUCAUAACAGGCCACUUUAAAAUGAAGUGAAAUUGACAAUUGUGAAUUUAACCUUCCUUGAUUACUACAUUGUUAACUCUAGGAACUAGUAUCUGGUCCUUACUACAUUGUUAACUUGUAGACCUGUGUUUAUGUCUAGCAAUAAAUGCUCUUUAUGCUA
ensembl:processed_transcript